rnacentral:siRNA from 1 species
GUAUCCAAUGUCCAUGAGGAUGGU